AUGUGGAAGCAACGACUGAAGAGUUGUGGAGCUGACUGGUACUAAUACACCGAAGAUCUACACACAACACAAC
rnacentral:rRNA from 1 species